rnacentral:tRNA from 1 species
GGCCCGAUGGUUUAGUGGUAUAAUUCUCGCUUAGGGUGCGAGAGGUCCCGGGUUCGAUUCCCGGUUGGGCCC